rnacentral:lncRNA from 1 species
UAAAUGACAUGUCCAGGGGGACACAGUUGGUAGAUGUUUAAAGGAAGCUGGAUAGAGAUGGAGGAGGAACACGGAAACAAUCAAAAGGGUUCAUAGAAUUUAGAACUCGAAUAGUGCAAAUGGAGCUUUUUUCCAGGUAUCAACAGAAGGAAGGUGCUUUCUCCAUAUAGUGGUCCAGGCUGGAGAGUGCUAUCCUUGUACAUUGCAUCCCUUUGUCAAUC